GAACCUUACCAGCCCUUGACAUGUCCUCUAUGGAUUCCAGAGACGGAGUCCUUCACUUCGGGUGGGAGGAACACAGGUGCUGCAUGGCUGUCGUCAGCUCGUGUCGUGAGAUGUUGGGUUAAGUCCCGCAACGAGCGCAACCCUCGGCCUUAGUUGCCAUCAUUUAGUUGGGCACUCUAAGGUGACUGCCGGUGAUAAGCCGGAGGAAGGUGGGGAUGACGUCAAGUCCUCAUGGCCCUUACGGGCUGGGCUACACACGUGCUACAAUGGCGGUGACAGAGGGACGCAAAGGCGCGAGCCUUCGCAAAUCUCAAAAAGCCGUCUCAGUUCGGAUUGGGGUCUGCAACUCGACCCCAUGAAGUUGGAAUCGCUAGUAAUCGCAGAUCAGCACGCUGCGGUGAAUACGUUCCCGGGCCUUGUCACACCGA
rnacentral:rRNA from 1 species